rnacentral:tRNA from 1 species
GGUAAUGUAGCUCAAUGGUAGAGUGCUUCCCUGUCAUGUAGGAAGCCCUGGGUUACAGCCCCAGUAUUGCAG